rnacentral:rRNA from 1 species
UACGAGGGGUGCAAGCGUUGCUCGGAAUUAUUGGGCGUAAAGGGUUGGUAGGUGGUCUUGUUUGUCUAAGGUGAAAUCCCAUGGCUUAACUGUGGAAGUGCCCUAGAAACGGCAAGACUAGAGUCCUAGAGGGGUUUGUGGAAUUCCCGGUGUAGCGGUGAAAUGCGUAGAGAUCGGGAGGAACACCAGCGGCGAAGGCGGCAAACUGGAUAGGAACUGACACUCAACAACGAAAGCGUGGGGAGCAAACAGG